CCGUCGAUAGCUCAGUUGGUAGAGCGGUGGACUGUAGAUCCAUAGGUGGCUGGUUCGAGUCCGGCUCGACGGA
rnacentral:tRNA from 1 species